UGUGAGCUCGAUGAGUAGGGCGGGACACGUGGUAUCCUGUCUGAAUAUGGGGGGACCAUCCUCCAAGGCUAAAUACUCCUGACUGACCGAUAGUGAACCAGUACCGUGAGGGAAAGGCGAAAAGAACCCCGGCGAGGGGAGUGAAAAAGAACCUGAAACCGUGUACGUACAAGCAGUGGGAGCACGCUCAGGCGUGUGACUGCGUACCUUUUGUAUAAUGGGUCAGCGACUUAUAUUCUGUAGCAAGGUUAACCGAAUAGGGGAGCCGAAGGGAAACCGAGUCUUAACUGGGCGUUAAGUUGCAGGGUAUAGACCCGAAACCCGGUGAUCUAGCCAUGGGCAGGUUGAAGGUUGGGUAACACUAACUGGAGGACCGAACCGACUAAUGUUGAAAAAUUAGCGGAUGACUUGUGGCUGGGGGUGAAAGGCCAAUCAAACCGGGAGAUAGCUGGUUCUCCCCGAAAGCUAUUUAGGUAGCGCCUCGUGAAUUCAUCUCCGGGGGUAGAGCACUGUUUCGGCAAGGGGGUCAUCCCGACUUACCAACCCGAUGCAAACUGCGAAUACCGGAGAAUGUUAUCACGGGAGACACACGGCGGGUGCUAACGUCCGUCGUGAAGAGGGAAACAACCCAGACCGCCAGCUAAGGUCCCAAAGUCAUGGUUAAGUGGGAAACGAUGUGGGAAGGCCCAGACAGCCAGGAUGUUGGCUUAGAAGCAGCCAUCAUUUAAAGAAAGCGUAAUAGCUCACUGGUCGAGUCGGCCUGCGCGGAAGAUGUAACGGGGCUAAACCAUGCACCGAAGCUGCGGCAGCGACGCUUAUGCGUUGUUGGGUAGGGGAGCGUUCUGUAAGCCUGCGAAGGUGUGCUGUGAGGCAUGCUGGAGGUAUCAGAAGUGCGAAUGCUGACAUAAGUAACGAUAAAGCGGGUGAAAAGCCCGCUCGCCGGAAGACCAAGGGUUCCUGUCCAACGUUAAUCGGGGCAGGGUGAGUCGACCCCUAAGGCGAGGCCGAAAGGCGUAGUCGAUGGGAAACAGGUUAAUAUUCCUGUACUUGGUGUUACUGCGAAGGGGGGACGGAGAAGGCUAUGUUGGCCGGGCGACGGUUGUCCCGGUUUAAGCGUGUAGGCUGGUUUUCCAGGCAAAUCCGGAAAAUCAAGGCUGAGGCGUGAUGACGAGGCACUACGGUGCUGAAGCAACAAAUGCCCUGCUUCCAGGAAAAGCCUCUAAGCAUCAGGUAACAUCAAAUCGUACCCCAAACCGACACAGGUGGUCAGGUAGAGAAUACCAAGGCGCUUGAGAGAACUCGGGUGAAGGAACUAGGCAAAAUGGUGCCGUAACUUCGGGAGAAGGCACGCUGAUAUGUAGGUGAAG
rnacentral:rRNA from 1 species